CGAGACUAAUACGUUGAACUAUAGUAGUACUAAUAGUAGUGGUAGAUGGAAGUGAUGUUGGAAUUUAAACGCUGUAGUUGGAAGCAAUGUUUGCGAGUCUAGAGCUUCGAAAACGAGAUGGGGAUGAAGAUCCGUUGGUGAUGGAGAAGGCGAAAGUGAAAGCAUGAAAUUCGGCGGCAAGCUUAGGAUUUGAAACUGUUUUUUUUUCCGAGAUGAUAUUAGAAGUGAAUGAAAGAUUUUGAGAGAAACAAAAGGGAGAAAGAAGAAAAAGAGAUAAGUAAUAACAAAGAAGAAAAGAUGGAGAGACAAAGCGGGGACAAACGCUUUAUAUACUAAACCCUUUCAUAACGGGGAAAAUAGUAAUAACAAUGUGAGUCGAUAUAUGGCAAUGAAGUACCAAGUAGAAAAAUAUGAAAGAAUUUAUCUGAUAACCCAAUAAUUUAAAUAUUCGAUAUCAUAUAACUACCCUGUCGAAGUGCAAAUUAUGGACAUUAAGAUUAUUACAAAAUUCUGAACUCCCAGAAACAGCUAUCGAGUUGGCUUCAGAAUCCAGCGUGCUAACUAUUACACUACAGAACCUGGCUUGUUACGUUGGACAUGUUAGACGUAAAAAAAAAUCGUUACAUGAUUGUGAAAUACCUAUGUGCCUACUUUGAGUUCGCUUCUGCGAAUAAGAGCUGGAUUUGAUCGGAUGAGUUGAAAUUUAAUUUCUUCGCUUCUGAUGGCCAAGUCUUUAUCAGCUGUUCUAGAGGAGAAUUUCACUCACAAUGCAUGAUUCUAUCAGAUAAUCAUUUUGAGAUGGAUGUUUGCGAAAUGGAUGCUUCCUCACAUCAGAGCUAGAGCAUUGUGAAGAGUACGGCCAGUCCGGAGAUCUUAGAGACGUCUUUAAUCUUAUACGCCAAUACGCCUUUAUUGAUAAUAUUAAUAAAAUCAUAAAAAUAAAAAAUACAGUGAGAAAUUCAUAUACGAACGGUCCUCUAAAUGAACACAUUGAAUAACGAAUGGAUUUUCUGAAGAAAAUUAAAUUGAAAUUCAGUUAACGAACUACGAUAAAGUAUGCAGUGUGUACCUACAACAGAUGGGGUUUUUUUUCUCUCUCACCUUAGUAAUGUAUCUAGACUGCAGACCAAGCAUGGCUGGAGCAGACGACAAUCCCAGGAUUUAAAUUCAGAGGAAAACUUUGCGUAGGUUAUAUAUAUAUUUAAAAAAAUAAACACAGGAAGUAAAAUAAUUGCACAAUUAUAUAAAGAUUGAAAGAGUAAAAAACGAUUACUAUUAA
rnacentral:lncRNA from 1 species